GGGGUAGGGUGUUGACAUGGAUAGAAAAUUGGUUGGCAGACCGGAAGCAAAGAGUAGGAGUGAACGGAUCUUUUUCAGUAUGGCAGGCAGUUACUAGUGGGGUACCGCAAGGCUCGGUGCUGGGACUGCAGCUAUUUACAAUAUACAUUAAUGAUCUAGAUGAAGGGAUUGAAAGCAACAUUAGCAAAUUUGCAGAUGACACAAAACUGGGUGGCAGUGCGAACGGUGAAGAGGAUGUUAUAAGGAUGCAGGGUAACUUACAGGUUGGGUGAGUGGAUAGAUGCAUGGGCAGAUGCAGUUUAAUGUGGAUAAAUGUGAUGUUAUCCACUUUGGUUAUUGGUAGCAAAAAAACAGGACGGCAGAUUAUCAUCUAAAUGGUGUCAAGUUGGGAAAAGGGGAAGUACAACAGGAUCUGGGGAUCCUUGUUCAUCAGUCAAUUAAAGUAAGCAUGCAGGUACAGCAGGCA